AACAAAAUGUAGCUUAAUCAUAAAGCCCCUCGCUUACACCGAGACGUCAUCUGUUAAACCCGGAUCAUUUU
rnacentral:tRNA from 1 species